rnacentral:rRNA from 1 species
AUGGCUUGGCUGCGAGUGCAGGCUGUUGCCGUCGUCCUAGCUCUGCUAACGGCCGCCGGCGUCACGCACAGCUUCGAGUUCCAUGAGACCACCGUGGAUGCCAUCCAGCUCGGCUUCCGCAACGGCAGCCUCACCUCGGCCGCCCUCGUCCGGUUCUACCUGGACCAGAUCCGCCUCCUCAACCCGCUGCUGCACGCCGUCAUCGAGGUCAACCCGGAUGCGCUCUGGCAGGGUGCACGCGCCGAUGCCGAGCGCCGUCGUGGCAUGGCCACAGGCGCGUUGCAUGGGGUCCCCGUCCUGCUCAAGGACAACAUCGCCACCCACGACGCUCUCAACACCACGGCCGGCUCGCUGGCGCUCCUCGGCUCCGUGGUGAAGCGCGACGCCGGCGUGGCGGCUAGGCUGCGGCGCGCUGGCGCCGUGGUGCUCGGCAAGGCCAGCCUCUCCGAGUGGGCCAACUUCCGCAAUGUCAAAAACGGGUGGAGCGCGCGCGGCGGCCAGACGCGCAACCCAUACGUGUUGUCGUCCGACCCGUGCGGGUCGAGCUCCGGGUCGGGCGUGGCCGCGGCAGCGAACAUGGCGGCCGUGACACUGGGCACCGAGACCGAUGGCUCCAUACUCUGCCCGUCAUCGUUCAACUCCGUGGUCGGCAUCAAGCCCACCGUCGGGCUCACCAGCCGCGCCGGCGUCGUCCCCAUCACCCCUAGACAAGACAGUGUCGGACCGAUGUGCCGGACAGUGUCGGAUGCAGUCCACGUGCUGGACGCCAUCGUCGGCUACGACAAGCUCGAUGCCACGGCCACUCGAGCAGCAUCCAAGUACAUCCCUCAUGGCGGAUAUCUGCAGUUCCUGAAGAAGGAUGGGCUGAGAGGGAAGAGGAUCGGCGUCCCCAAUGAAUUGUUUUUGUUUCAAGGAUUUGGAGAGAAGCAGAUGAGGGUGUACAAACAGCACCUCGCCACAAUGAGGAAACACGGAGCCAUGGUGAUCGAGAACCUUGACAUCGCCACCGACAGUCAAGAUAUUGUUUCCAAUGAGUGGACUGCGAUGCUGACAGAGUUCGAGUUGAGCAUAAACGAGUACUUGGCGGACUUGUCCUACUCUCCGGUCCAUUCUCUUGCGGACAUCAUAGCUUUCAACAAAGCACAUCCUAUAGAGGAGAGGCUAAAAGAUUUCGGGCAACAAAACCUUAUCUUAGCCCAAAAUACAAACGGCAUUGACCGUCUGGAAAGAGCUCGGAUCCGCUGGCUGAAGAAGCUCUCCGUGAAUGGGUUGGAGAAGCUGAUGAAGGAGCAUCAACUGGACGCGAUCGUUGCACCCGAGCACUAUGCUUCCAACCAUCUCGCCAUUGGCGGCCACCCUGGCAUCGUUGUGCCGGCUGGGUACAACGAGAAGGGUGUCCCUUUUGGCAUAUGCUUUGGCGGGCUGCAGGGAUAUGAGCCGAGGCUGAUCGAGAUAGCCUAUGCUUUCGAGCAGGCUACUAAAGUGAGAAGGCCACCCAUGUUCAAGCCUUAG